UGGGAAUUGAAUCACUGAACUACUUCCCUAGUCCUUUUUAUUUUAUUUUGAGACAAAUUGUGCAGGCUGGCCUUGAGCCUGUGAUCCUCCUGCCUCAGGCUCCCGAGUGGCUGGGAUUACAGGUGUGUGCCACCCUGAGGAUAUUUUGGUACCAAAGAUUAAAUUCAGGAGCACUCCAUCACUGAGCCACAUCCCAGCCCUAUUUUGUUUAGAGACAGGGUCUCACUGAGUUGUUUAGUGCCUCACCAUAGCUGGUGCUGGCUUUGAACUUGCCAUUCUCCUGUCUCAGCCUCCCAAGCCGCUGCUGGGAUUACAGGUAUGUACUACCAGGCCGCCCUGAGGAAUUAUUUUGAUAAAAACAAACAACACAACAACAAAUUUUUUUUUCCUCUAAAAUUAAGGAAUCCAUUUCCAUGACUGUCAUGAAGCCCUGGGUGAGUUAGCAGGAAUAAGUUUGGAGGUAACUAUCCUGGCUCUGGAAUUCCUAGUAACAAUCACUGUUUUCUCUCUUGAUCUCAAUGGAAAACCCAGGAUCAUAUAACCUCAACAUUCCUGGCAAACGCCAAAGCCAACUAUGUAGGAGGCUUUUUUAGAGGAGAAGACAACUCUUGUCUUCCCAGAGGAUAAAUCCUCCACGUUGCUCUAUGAGGCAGAUAGCAACCCCGAACCAUGAAUGGGUUGGGGUCUGCGCUGGCCUCAAUGGCUUCCUUUCAAUUAAAGUAAGUGGACAGCAGUAAAGUUCAACUCCCCCUUCCCCACCCCGGGGGUCAUCCUACAAUCAUUGAAAAACACCUGGCUCAAUUAAGUGUCAAAUAUUAUUUUGUUACCUACACAUUUCUC
rnacentral:lncRNA from 1 species